GGCAAUCGGCAGCUAUACAUGCAGUCGACGGAAGUGGCCUUCGGGCUGCUUUAGUGGCAAACGGGUGCGUAACGCGUAAGCAACCUGCCCCCAACUGAGGGAUAGCCCGGCGAAAGCGGGGGUAAACCCCCAUAGUGCUUGGGUGUCACCUGACACCUUAGCUAAACAGUAUCUGGGUUGGGGAGGGGCUUGCGUCUGAUUAGGUAGUUGGGGGGGUAGUGGCCCACCAAGCCGGUGAUCAGUAGGGGUUCUGAGAGGAUUUCCCCCCACAUGGGUACUGAGAUACGGACCCAACUCCUACGGGAGGCAGCAGUAGGGAAUAUUGGGCAAUGGAGGCAACUCUGACCCAGCCAUGCCGCGUGCCGGAUGAAGGCGCUCAGCGUCGUAAACGGCUUUUAUCUACGAAGAACUGUAUGUCUGCGGGCGUACUUGACGGUAGUAGGUGAAUAAGCACCGGCUAACUCCGUGCCAGCAGCCGCGGUAAUACGGAGGGUGCGAGCGUUGUCCGGAUUUAUUGGGUUUAAAGGGUGCGUAGGUGGGUCUUUAAGUCUGGUUUGAAAGCAAGCGGCUCAACCGUUUGAUGUGGCUGGAAACUGGAGAUCUUGAAUGGGUUGGCGGCAGCCGGAAUGGGUCAUGUAGCGGUGAAAUGCAUAGAUAUGACCCGGAACACCGAUUGCGAAGGCAGGCUGCCAGGACCUGAUUGACACUGAGGCACGAGAGCAUGGGUAGCGAACAGGAUUAGAUACCCUGGUAGUCCAUGCCGUAAACGAUGAUUACUGGCUGUGUGCGUGAAGACGUGCGUGGCUCAGCGAAAGCGUUAAGUAAUCCACCUGGGGAGUACGCUGGCAACAGUGAAACUCAAGGAAUUGACGG
rnacentral:rRNA from 1 species